rnacentral:rRNA from 1 species
UACGUAGGGGGCAAGCGUUGUCCGGAAUCAUUGGGCGUAAAGCGCGUGUAGGCGGCUGGGUAAGUCCGCUCUGAAAGCCCGGGGCUCAACCCCGGGAGGCGGGUGGAUACUGCUCAGCUCGAGUCCGGAAGAGGAGUGUGGAAUUCCUGGUGUAGCGGUGAAAUGCGUAGAUAUUGGGAGGAACACCAGUGGCGAAGGCGGCUCACUGGACCGGAACUGACGCUGAGGCGCGAAAGCGUGGGGAGCAAACGGG